AAUUUGAGAAUGUAAACAACGAAGAGUCCAGGCAUCGAAAGACCGUAAUUCUUCAGCUUGUUAGGAUGAUUUAACCGAUUCUUACUUGUGUAAAAGUGUAAUAACAUGUUUUCCUGUUAAAUUUGCUCUGUUUGAUUGGAUAAUUCCACAGGAACCGUCGACCGCGGACUUGAAUAGAUGAUGUGCGAGAACAUAGAAUGGAUUUGCCUGCACUCAUGCGUCAUCACAGUGUAAAGGAUUUUAAUCUAAAAAGACAACCCUGCUUAUUUCAGCUGUACAGAUUGCAGUUCAUCUCAGAUGCUGUUAGACUAAAUAAUGAAAGAUGUUCAAACCAGUUUUAAAGAGUCCUAAGUCUGAAAUCAUGGUGCUUUUAUUAAGGAGAUCAGUGCUUUUUUCUGUGCAUUGUUGACAUUUGUGAUACUGUUCGGUUUAUGACCAUCUCUCUGACAAUAACUCUGACACUUGAAAUUCAGUUUGAGCGACAGAUAAGGAAGUCAAAUCAUAUGCAUGUAAAACAUUAUACAACUGUUAUAAAAACAUUGAUAAACUUAAAUUUAAACAAAGUACAUGUACAUGUAUCUGUGAUCUUGGCAUUGAAAUUCAUCCUGUACAUGGAUACUUUUAAUGAAUUUGUCUCAUGGUAAUGGAAUAUUAAAUUGUUAAACAUUGUUGAGGAAUCACCCUGAAUAAAAAUAUUUUGAACUUGAUCAAAUAUUUUUUCCUCAUUUAAACACUGACAAAUUUAAGAUCAAAUGUCAAGGUCAAAUACAAAG